rnacentral:rRNA from 1 species
GAUGAACGCUGGCGGCGUGCCUAAUACAUGCAAGUCGAGCGAACAGACGAGGAGCUUGCUCCUCUGACGUUAGCGGCGGACGGGUGAGUAACACGUGGAUAACCUACCUAUAAGACUGGGAUAACUUCGGGAAACCGGAGCUAAUACCGGAUAAUAUAUUGAACCGCAGGGUUCAAUAGUGAAAGACGGUUUUGCUGUCACUUAUAGAUGGAUCCGCGCCGCAUUAGCUAGUUGGUAAGGUAACGGCGUACCAAGGCAACGAUGCGUAGCCGACGUGAGAGGGUGAUCGGCCACGCUGGAACUGAGACACGGUCCAGACUCCUACGGGAGGCAGCAGUAGGGAAUCUUCCGCAAUGGGCGAAAGCUUGACGGAGCAACGCCGCGUGAGUGAUGAAGGUCUUCGGAUCGUAAAACUCUGUUAUUAGGGAAGAACAAAUGUGUAAGUAACUAUGCACGUCUUGACGGUACCUAAUCAGAAAGCCACGGCUAACUACGUG